GAUGUUGGAAUGAGGUGGAAAUGGACAAAUGGAGAAAAAACAAAAGGGCUCAUAAAUGUUUUUCUUGGUCAGAUCCCAUGAGCCCCAUCAGCAGUAUCCGCAAUGGCUUUUACAGACCAGUCUGGGCAGCACGAUUUUGUUCAAGUGUUCCCAGGGAACAAAAAAACAUCACGAACAUGUGUCUUGCUGAAAACACUCCCUCUGAUAUGAAACCAUGAUUGUUCACCAGCAAAGUUACUUGUGGGCUUGGGAAAUAAUUCACGAGCAGAGGAGAUGGUGUAACAGGAUGUGGGCAUCUAAUCUCUCCGUACCAGGAGACAGUCAUAAGCACUGGCACUUACCCAGCAGUCAGCUACAAUUUGUUUGCACACAGGGUUUGCUGGAAAAUUGCAUCCAGCCGUCCAGUUAAUAAAAAUCAUCUUCACACAGCUCACCGGCAAUGUUUGCUGAAUGAGAGAUGGCUGCUAAAUUAUUCACUCUGCACCAUUGGAGUCUCAGCGGUGGAAGAGAGGGAAGGAAGAUUUCGCUGCUGCUAGUCAUGUUAUGCUGUCGAUUCAUUCUCAGGGCUGGGAGUCUACCAUCUGGUACUAAACUCACCAAGAAAAAUGAGGAAAAAAAAAAGGCAACAUUUUUAAGCACUGAUUGCUCAUCGUACAGCAGCUCUAGAGAACAUUUUCUAACAUUCAUGAGAAGUACGAAUCUAGAGGGAAGUGCAGAGCGGAAGGGAUAAUAUGCCAUUUAGAGUAUUCCACCUACACAGAUGUAGAGGCAAUAUAUGAGGGCACAAAAUCCCAUUCUGCCUAUCCGGUUUGGUACACCGAGGUCAAUGGAGAGGCUAGAUGUAACGUAACCUCCUAGAUGUGUCCCUGGGAGACACUUUCCUGUCACUCCAAGCUCUCUUUGGCUGCUGAGCUGCCUUUCAGCCCACUUGGAUUUUGAUGGAUUUUAACCCUGAUGAGCAAUUUGGAAGAAGAUCAGCAUGAUAGGAGAUCCUUGUUCCUCGCUGCAUAACUGGAAAUGCCCAGAGAGCAAGCGUGGAAAAAUUGCUGCUGGAGAUUCAAGGCCAGGUGCUUUGGUGCUCGCAGUGGAAGUGUUUUGGUGGAACUGCGUGGCUCUGGAUGCAUCACCUGCGUUUGGAAACACACCCGGCCCUGCUGCACAGCACGCUGAGCAAUUCAUUUUAUCAGGAGCCAAACAGAGGAGAUGCCUUAAGGAGCAGGACGGAGCGUGUCCCCGCAGUCAGAGCUGCAGAAGAAGAUAGAGCACCUUGGCUGGAUAUGAAAGGCCCCAGAAGAACAAAAGAGGAGGAGGAAACAAAAGUCAGAUGGGAAAACAAGCUCGCUAACUUGUUCAAAGAGCCACAGGCUGUCAGCACUGAGCACUAGCGAUUUUGGGGGGCUUUAGUAAAGGAUUGAGUGGUGGAGAUAAAAGCACCACAUGAUUCAUUAAUGUCUUAUGUGGCCUAGACAGGAAGGAGGACAAAGAUGCACAACUGCCAUGGGCUUCCUAUGCUGCAUCGCAACACUGCGAAGAAUUGAAACAACUGCAAGAUGUCCUGGGCCAUUCCAGCACCCGCUUUAUCUCCAGUGAUCUUUGACCCCUGCAUGUCAGGAGUUCAAUCUGCCCAGCUGGAACACCAGUGCUCCUGGCUGCUUGUCGACUCCUCUGCUUCAUUUAAUGAAAGUGAGCAAGAGAACCACUGAAAAUUGAGAUGCCUGGGAAGUUAGAACGGAAAGAUCAGCAGCACAUCUUGGUGGAAGAAAGGAAUUGUUUGUGUCUGUCCUUUUCAGAUAUCCUGGGCACUCUGGGGGUGCAAAGUCUUGAUGGCCCUUGUAAUGAAGGGACCCAUGAAAAAUUGCUUGGUCUGCACAGAAGAGCCCUGGAGACAUUGCAAAGCAGGCUCCCAAUUUCUCCCCCCAAAAGCUCAACUUCUCGCAUGGCCGAGCCUCUGCCCAAAGGAUGGGUCUGUAGGAAGAUGCUGGGGAUGUCCAGCUGUCUCUGCACCCCACAUUUCAGGUGUGGGGCAGUGUGUGGGGUUGUUUGAACCUCACCUACGCAAGGGACACAAGUCAAGGGCCACCACAUUUUAAAGCCACCCCUUUUUCAGGCACACACCUGCCUCUUAGUCAUCUCUUUUGACUCUGCACAAAGAAAAAGUAUAUGUGCCUGCUUUCUGCCCUGCUUGCUUUCAUUUUUAGAAGGAGAUGAAGGGGGAAAAGUUUGCAGUGCCUCCAUGGGACAGCAGAGCUGGAACAGCUUCCAAAGGGAGAUUUAACCCAGCCUCACCUUGUCAGAGAGGGAAACCCAGCAGCUAAGGCUAAGAGAAAGCCACUCCCCCAAGAACAGCCAGCUACCAAGUAAUACAGCGUGGAGAAACAGAAAUUCUCCUUCGGCACAGCAUCUUCUCUGUCUGCUGCUGUGGGUCCCAUCCCCAUGGUGUUCGGUGCCAGGGACCAUGUGGCAGGACCAGGCUGAUGGUGCUCUUGCCCCGUUUGCAACACAUCAACACACUGCUUGCCUCGGGCAGAGGUCAUGUGCAGUGCCAUGUCCAUAGGCAGGAGAAAGCUACUCCCAACACAAGCAGCAGACCUCCAAGAGGUGCAGGACAGAGCAUGGCCAUGCCACCGGCAACCACCGUGCAAGCCAUGAAGUGCCUGGACCACUGGUUCAGCACUCACGUCCUGCUAAACCUCCUGGUUCCCCAAGGCGCUCAGCAUCUGUUUUCCCAGGUGUCCAGAGGAGCAGGAUGGGACCAAGCCAAAACCUUGAGCAGCAACACCUGGAGAGGGCCAGUGGGGUGAUUUGUGUGGCAUGGUUCUGGCUGCUGGCUGACGAGUUUAACUCCUGGUGUUAUCGUGACUGCCCAACCCAGCCACAUGCAGACCUUCCCUUCUCACCUUUGUUUCCACCUCUCCACAGAGGGAGGAACGUGCCAAGCUCUGCAGGACACUGACUCCCGUCAUGACAGCGCUUCUGCCCGACCCUCUCAGUUUGGGGCCAGUGGUUUCUCUAAGCCAGUUAGGGGGCAUUUUUGAGCUGAGCUGAGUUGCAAACUUCCCCCUUACCCUAAAUACCCAAAGACCCAUGGGGUGAAAACGUCCUGGCUCUCCCCAAGGUGUCUGGGAUAUUCCCUGAGGCUGGAGAGCAAGGAGUUCCCCAUUUUGCAUUGCACUGUGACCCAAGAGUUUGUCCAAGGACAGGGACGAUGGGACAUUUUAUACUUUUGAUUGAGUGCACAGUACCCGUGGGUGGCAAGGGGAGCUGAUACCCCAGACAGAGGGCACUGCUGCGCACCAUCUAAUUAACCCUUCUGGCUGCUUCGAUUAAAAAUAAAGGGGCCUUCAGGUCCCUGCUGGAGUGGCCUAUUUUACGUGUGCAUCUCCUUGGUUUUGCCUCAGCAUAUGAUGUUCAGGAGGCGGUUAUUUCAGGAAAGGUACACUAUAGAUAACUGAUCCGACAGCCAGGUGUCAUGUUCCUUCAUUUAUUUUCAAUUACUUUGUCUCAUUAGCUCCGGUGAGAAUUGCCUGGUGUCAAUUCAUUUGGUCACCUCCGUGCCUGCCGCACCUCUCCAGAGGCACUUCUCCAGUGUGGUGUGAUCUCUCCCUGGGGGACACUGUUACAAAACAGCUCUGCUUCUCUUUCAGCUUCAUCUUGUUCUCAUCCUCCAGGCCACCCCCAGCUUCCUGCCCCUUCUCAGGGACACACAGAGUUUCUGGAGAAAAGCUGUGACCAGGUGAGAAAACAAGUCCUUGGGGUGCAAGCCACCCCUCUGCUCCUCAGGGCGCUCAUCACAGCGAUAAGCAAGGGAAGCACCAGUGCCAGCAUGCUCAAGCUGCAAAGGUUUCCUGCAAACCUCCUCCCCAAGCACAUCUGGCUGUCGUUACUGACCAGGAGGCCAGCGCAAGGCCCCUGGACCUGCUCUGUCCCUUGCCUCAUUGCUCUGAAACUCAUUUGUCUCCUCAGCUGCUGAACACUGGGCCAGCUCAGGAGUUUGUGUGCAAGAAGUGAAGUUUGUGUGCAAGCAACAAGGGGGCUUGUGCUGUCUGGGGGAGUCUUCGUCUCCAUUUCAUGGGGAACACUCUCAGGCAGAGCUGUCAGGAUGAAGGUGGGAACCCAGGACCUCCUGGACCCUCAUUUCAGUUUCCACGUGUUGUGUGCACACAUACAUACAGAGCUGCCUCCAUGCCCUCAGUGCAGAGCCCUCUUCUCCUGGCCAACAACCAUGGUCACCCUUUUAUCUGGGGCAGCACUGUGUGCCUGCAGAUCUAACUCAACAAUGCCCCAAAGCCAUCAGAGCUUCAGGGUAAGGUAGGUUCAGGUAGGCUCAGGGCUCAUCCUGCUGCUUGCAUGGACUCUCUUUUUAGCCCUUUUCUCCUUCCCACUGACACCAACACCAUGCUGUGCCCCUCCAGCUUCUCGUCCCUCUACAGCCCAGCACAGAUGUCCAUCCAUCUGUGCCCUAGCUCCACGAAACAGGGUGGGGACAACUGCUGGGACAGACGGCGCCAUGCAGAGAAAUGGGGACACUCCUGGCAGGAGGAGAUGCCAAUGCCAUUCCAGAUGUGUCUGGAAGAGCCAAGCCAGCCAGCCUCCCUCUAGCCACAGAUUCUUCCUGCUUUCUGACACAGAGCUUUGUGAUUAAAGCCCUCCAAAUCCAAAUUCCCAGAUGACAGGGGAAGUCCAGACCUGGAGUUUAGGUCUAGUUGGUCCUCUAGCUGAACCCACGGCGGGUUCUCACGGUGGACCACCACGAAAUAUCCUUGUGCUUGCUUAUGGCACUGGGCACCUUUUUACCUGCCAGAGCUGCUCUCCAAGUGCGAUCUGAGCCAUCCCUGGCAUGUCCCCACUCCCUCUGGCACUGCUGAGCUGGCAGGGCUGGUGGCAUGGGCUGCUCGUCUGCCUGCUCACUGUCAGCAGCAUGGCCAGCUCAGCACUGAUGGUGACAGCAGCAGGGACCAAGAAGGGCAUGAUGUAAUUUUCAGAUCCGUCGGGGAGUUUUCAGCAGCGAUGGCUGGAAAAAAACAGCAUUUUCCUUGUGAAAAAGGGCACAUUCACUCUGGUUUCAAUGAGAAAGAAAUAAAUAGAAAGCCUGGUAGUGACUGU